GACGAACGCUGGCGGCGUGCUUAACACAUGCAAGUCGAACGGUGAAGCGCCUUCCUUUUUGGUGGGUGUGGAUGAGUGGCGAACGGGUGAGUAACACGUGAGUAACCUGCCCCCUUCUUCUGGAUAACCGCAUGAAAGUGUGGCUAAUACGGGAUAUUCUGGGUCUGUCGCAUGAUGGGUCUGGGAAAGAUAUUGUUUCGGUGGGGGAUGGGCUCGCGGCCUAUCAGCUUGUUGGUGGGGUGAUGGCCUACCAAGGCGGUGACGGGUAGCCGGCCUGAGAGGGUGGACGGUCACACUGGGACUGAGACACGGCCCGGACUCCUACGGGGGGCAGCAGUGGGGAAUAUUGCACAAUGGGCGCAAGCCUGAUGCAGCGACGCCGCGUGAGGGAUGGAGGCCUUCGGGUUGUGAACCUCUUUCGCCAGUGAAGCAGGCCUGCCUCGUUUGUGGGUGGGUUGACGGUAGCUGGAUAAGAAGCGCCGGCUAACUACGUG
rnacentral:rRNA from 1 species